rnacentral:rRNA from 1 species
GACGUAGGAGGCGAGCGUUGUCCGGAUUCAUUGGGCGUAAAGCGUGCGCAGGCGGUGAUGUAAGACCGAUGUGAAAUCCCCGGGCUUAACCUGGGAACUGCAUUGGUGACUGCAUCGCUCGAGUAUGGCAGAGGGGGGUAGAAUUCCACGUGUAGCAGUGAAAUGCGUAGAGAUGUGGAGGAAUACCGAUGGCGAAGGCAGCCCCCUGGGUCAAUACUGACGCUCAUGCACGAAAGCGUGGGGAGCAAACAGG